rfam:Thiobacillus sp. GWE1_62_9 gwe1_scaffold_1070, whole genome shotgun sequence.
GGCGGGUCUCCCCGCAUGGCUAGGUCGUGAAUCGGGUCAGGUCCGGAAGGAAGCAGCCCCAGCGGUCGAUGCCAGUGCCGGGGUCAGGCUCGCCAUU